rnacentral:rRNA from 1 species
CCUACGGGCGGCAGCAGUGGGGAAUAUUGCACAAUGGGCGAAAGCCUGAUGCAGCAACGCCGCGUGAGCGAUGAAGGCCUUCGGGUCGUAAAGCUCUGUCCUCAAGGAAGAUAAUGACGGUACUUGAGGAGGAAGCCCCGGCUAACUACGUGCCAGAAGCCGCGGUAAUACGUAGGGGGCUAGCGUUAUCCGGAUUUACUGGGCGUAAGGGGUGCGUAGGUGGUUUCUUAAGUCAGAGGUGAAAGGCUACGGCUAAACCGUAGUAAGCCUUUGAAAAUGGUGAACGUGAGUGCAGGAGAGGAGAGUGGAAUUCCUGGUGUAGCGGUGAAAUGCGUAGAUAUCAGGAGGAACACCGAUUGCGAAGGCAGCUCUCUGGACUGUAACUGACACUGAGGCACGAAAGCGUGGGGAGCAAACAGGAUUAGAUACCCCGGUAGUC